rfam:Babesia sp. Xinjiang scaffold6, whole genome shotgun sequence.
UUUAAGGCUUCACUUGAAGCCAUCAACACAAAAAUUUUAAUUUAUU